UUGAUUAUUUAAUAUUUACUCAGACUUCACUAAUAAACAGGAUUUGAAUAAACCUCUGGCGGGCGCGAUCCGUCCCCCAGCUAAAAACGCUGGGGGCCGGCAUGAGCCGUAUAGCCUACUCAAGGCCCGCCAAAGCAACAAAGGUAAGGUAAACAUGGGGUUGAGAUACACGAUGAGCGCUGGCCGAGCCCAGACGGACUCGGACAAACACCCACCGCUGGGAGCUAGGCCCCCGAACUCAUUAAUGAUCCUUCCGCAGGUUCACCUACGGAAA
rnacentral:misc_RNA from 1 species